rnacentral:rRNA from 1 species
GACGAACGCUGGCGGCGUGCUUAACAUAUGCAAGUCGAGCGGUAAGGCCCUUUCGGGGGUACACGAGCGGCGAACGGGUGAGUAACACGUGGGUGACCUGCCCUCAGCUCUGGGAUAAGCCUGGGAAACCGGGUCUAAUACUGGAUAUGACUCCAUGACGCAUGUUGUGGGGUGGAAAGCCUUGUGCGGCUGAGGAUGGGCCCGCGGCCUAUCAGCUUGUUGGUGGGGUGANGGCCUACCAAGGCGACGACGGGUAGCCGGCCUGAGAGGGCGACCGGCCACACUGGGACUGAGACACGGCCCAGACUCCUACGGGAGGCAGCAGUGGGGAAUCUUGCGCAAUGGGCGAAAGCCUGACGCAGCGACGCCGCGUGAGGGAUGACGGCCU